rnacentral:piRNA from 1 species
ACUGUACAAGAUAGUGGGAUACGGU